rnacentral:rRNA from 1 species
GAUGAACGCUGGCGGCGUGCCUAAUACAUGCAAGUCGAGCGGUAACACUUCGGGUGACGAGCGGCGGACGGCUGAGUAACGCGUAGGAACAUACCCCAAACUGAGGGAUAAGCACCGGAAACGGUGUCUAAUACCGCAUGUGGUCUUCGGAUUAAAGCUUCGGCGGUUUAGGAAGGGCCUGCGUCCGAUUAGCUUGUUGGUGAGGUAAAAGCUCACCAAGGCGACGAUCGGUAGCUGGUCUGAGAGGAUGAUCAGCCAGACUGGGACUGAGACACGGCCCAGACUCCUACGGGAGGCAGCAGUAGGGAAUUUUCCACAAUGGGCGAAAGCCUGAUGGAGCAACGCCGCGUGCAGGAUGAAGGCCUUCGGGUUGUAAACUGCUUUUAUCUGUGAAGAUUAUGACGGUAGCAGAUGAAUAAGGAUCGGCUAACUCCGUGCCAGCAGCCGCAGUAA